rnacentral:pre_miRNA from 1 species
AAGGGGACUGAUGGGUCACAUAAUCAGUAUGUUUGAUUUAAAACAAAACUGCCAAACUGCUUUCAAAUUGACUGCAUUACUUUGCAUUUCUACCAGCAGU